AGGGGUGUGGUACAAUGGUAGCAUACCGGUCUCCAAAACCGUUGAUGGGAGUUCGAUCCUCUCCACCCCUGCCA
rnacentral:tRNA from 1 species